rnacentral:rRNA from 1 species
GACGAACGCUGGCGGCGUGCCUAAUACAUGCAAGUUGAGCGAUGAAGAUUGGUGCUUGCACCAAUUUGAAGAGCAGCGAACGGGUGAGUAACGCGUGGGGAAUCUGCCUUUGAGCGGGGGACAACAUUUGGAAACGAAUGCUAAUACCGCAUAACAACUUUAAACAUAAGUUUUAAGUUUGAAAGAUGCAAUUGCAUCACUCAAAGAUGAUCCCGCGUUGUAUUAGCUAGUUGGUGAGGUAAAGGCUCACCAAGGCGAUGAUACAUAGCCGACCUGAGAGGGUGAUCGGCCACAUUGGGACUGAGACACGGCCCAAACUCCUACGGGAGGCAGCAGUAGGGAAUCUUCGGCAAUGGACGAAAGUCUGACCGAGCAACGCCGCGUGAGUGAAGAAGGUUUUCGGAUCGUAACACUCUGUUGGUAGAGAAGAACGUUGGUGAGAGUGGAAAGCUCAUCAAGUGACGGUAACUACCCAGAAAGGGACGGCUAACUACGUG